UUUUUCUUAAAAUGGGGCAAUGCACAGUCUGUAGAGAAGAAAUAAGAGAUAAAUAUCAGCUUCAUUGACAAGAUAUUGACAAGCUGGAACAUGUCCAGAGAAGGGAAACGAAAAUGGUAUAUUGUCUGGAAGCCAAGUUCUAUAAGGAGCGGCUUAGGGAGCUGGGUGUUUUAACUUGGAGACAAGAAGGUUAAGAGGGAAUUUGAUAGCCAGGUUUAGAUAUUUGAAAAGAUGUCACAUUGAUGAGGGAGGAAGCUUGUUUCUAUUGCCCUGGAGACUAGGGCUUAGAGCAAUAUAUUUAAACUGCAGAAAAAUAUAUUCUACCUUAGCAUUAGGAAGAGUUGUUUGGCAGUGCAAUAUCCUGCCUUAGAGUGUGGUGGAGUGGCCUUCUCUGAUGGUUUUUAAGCAGAAGUUUGAUGGCCAUCUGUCAGGAGUGUGUUACUACAUGGCAGGGGGUUGGACUGGAUAGCCCUUGUAGUCUCUUCAAACUCUUUCAACUUUAUGAUUCUAUGGUUCUGCCCUGGUAACAAAUGCCCAGCAAGAAAUUUCGGCAUACUGGAAUGUCAGACUUGAAAGCACCCAUCUCCGUGAAUCUCUUCCCUUUUGCCUUGUAGCUUAUACUGGCUGAAGACAAUGGCACAGGGUUGAUACGAAUCAACAUGUUUGGCAUUGAACUUGAAAAAUUGAGCUGUUAUUCCAGUAGUAAUGUAUUGACACUUCAGAUGUCACUACUGUCACAUAAUGGGAUGCUGUAUAUUAUAUCAAACAUUCUAUGACAAUCAACAAGAACAACUACACAAAGUGUGUAGUACUGUAAUCUAGUCUGAUGGAUAUAAAGUCACAAAUGGACCACUAUACUCAAACAUAAGAUCCUUUAAUGGCCAAGAUUGGUUUGUGACUCUUUCUGUUACCUGCAACCCCCACUUACUCUCCCAUCCUCAAACCUCAUUUGGCAAAGCCUGUAGGAAGAGGAGAGGAUAAGGAAGCCAUAUUCUGCUAGUAUAAUAUGAGCUUUAUGACCUCAUCACAUUACUUAAAUUCCCCAUCGUAGGACACUUCCUCCACACAGCAGGCAUGGAGCCCAUUGGAUCUCAUCCCACGAUGUACAUCUACUUCCAGUAGGGAUCCAUGCUGUUUGAAUUGAGGAAGCAUGGUAGGAGGGGAAAACCUGAACAUGGGAGAUUGCCUGUGUUCAGGUUAGAAAUAAUGGGGACAAAGUGGGCCCAUGCCGAAAACUACACAUUCUGGCAUGUCAUGGGUAAGCAGGUAGUGCUGGCUAUGUGGGGUGGCAGGCAACAGAUUCGCCUCACAAUUUGCCCUGCUGCCCUACACCAUGCCCUCACUGUCCCCCAAAGCCCACUCUGCAAAAUCACUUCAAAGGAAGAGAAGCAUGACACAAGAGAAAGACAAUUACUUAGCAGGAGUGAAGAGAGACAGAACCAUCCCAUGUCUCUAGAAGACAUUAAAAUAUAUAAACAAAAUAUGGUAACAGUUGCUAAAUAACUUUAAGAAUGUUUGUGCCUGUGUAUUUCAAUACCUUUAAGAAUGUUUGUGUCUGUGGAUGCAUACUGUUUCUAUAACUAAUCAGGAAAAUCAUGCAGACAUCUGGUUUUCUUUGGAAACAUCCUGCUUAUCUCUCAUUUUCUUCUACUCAUGGCUGCAGGGAACAUGCUGAAAACAAAAUCACAAUGAUGAUAUUUCUAAACAACAUUUCCCUAAUGCAAUAAUCACUCUUAUGCUACCAACAGACCAAUGUAUUCCAAAACUAUUUUAGAGUAGAGCUUAACAAGGGAGUGUGUUUAAGUAGAAAAGGCCUGAGAACAUUAUUCAUUACAAAGCAUUGUAGAAAGUGGUAAAUGGAUUUCUGAAGUCUUCCAUUUCUGUCUCUUCAAUUCUUUAGUCAGCUUGCUUCUCACCAUCUGAUUUUUUUUAGCCAACUAUACCUGGGAGCCCCCGGUGGCACAGGAAGUUAAAUCGCUGAGCUGCUGAACAUCCUGACUGAAAGGUCAGUGGUUCGAAUCCGGGGAGCAGGGUGAGCUUCCGCUGUUAGCCCCAGCUUCUACCAACCUAGCAGUUCGAAAACAUGCAAAUGUAAGUAGACCAAUAGGUACCACUCCAGCAGGAAGGUAACAGCGCUCCAUGCAGUCAUGCCAGCCACAUGACCUUGGAGGUGUCUGUGGACAAAGCCAGCUCUUCAGCUUAGAAAUUGAGAUGAGCAGCACCAACCCCCAGAGUCAGACACAACUAGAUUUAAUGCCAGGGGAAAAACUUUAUCUUUACCUACACCUGGUAUAUAUUAAGUCUUCAUAAUUUCUGGGAAAAUGCUAUCUCCACUCCCUGCACUAGGCUUAUCCCUAAAUCCAAGGUAGGUUUAACAACAACAACAACAACAGCAACAUUUUUAUAUAUUACCCAACUCUCCUUUCAGCUUAAGGUGAGGCACAAUAUUUUCAAGCACAUCUAUAAAAUCACAUAAUAAAACAUAGUUAAAAUGCAAACAUAAAAGCAUAAAUUAAAAUAUGCAAAUAUUAAAAUGCAUGAAACAAAAGUUAAAACCAUAAACAUAGAAUAUGAUUUACAAGUCAUUCUUAAAAUUGACUAGGCAGGCCUGCCGAAAGAGAUAGGUCUUCAGUUAUGUUUCAAAUUCCGACAGUUCAUUUAGCUGUUGGAGCUCUUUUCACAGUCUUGGAGCAGCCAAUGAAAAGGUCUUCUGGGCGAUGGUUGCCCUCCAGGUUCUGGCUGGUUGGAGGAGCUGCCCCUCAGGAGGACCUCAGUGUCCAGGGCAGAUUGUACGUAAGAACGUGAUCCUGCAGCCUGGCAAAUUCGUACUUACUAUCAAAUCUCUGAAAUGAAUAUAGCCCUGGAUUUCUUUGAAUGAGCAUUCAAAACCCAUGUUUCAUUUCGGUCUUAAGACAUCAGCAUGUUUCUUCGUGAGCAAAAAAUGUCAUACCUUCAAAGCAAGAGGAGAAUGGGAAGGAAGGACAAACACUUGCAUACAGGCAGAGAAGCACUGUGGGACGACUAGGCAAGAUUUCACUAUCAAUAACAGGGGACAGCUUUGUCACAAGGAGGAUAUUUCACAGCAUCAUGCAAUAUGGAUAGUCCUGUUUUUAUGCUAGUUUGCCACCUCUGUGUAAUAAAGUCCUCAGUGUGCUACCUAUAUGUCUACUGGCCUAUUAUUAACUCAUUAACAGCGGGAGGGGAAAAUCUCAUCAAUAUCAGCACACCUAAAAUGCAAGCUAAAUAUUUUAGUGUACCUAGCUUUCAGUAUUGUAUGCCUUGUGCAUGAACUCUUAGAGCAGCGGUUCUCAAAGUAUGAUCUGCAAAGUCCUUGGGGCUCCGCGAAGCAUCCUGAGGGGCUCUGUGGUUUCCUCUUCCUGCAACCUCCUCCCUCUCCCCCUUCAAGCUUUUCCUCCUCUUUCUUGCUCCUCCCCCUCCCCCCUUGCCACCAAAAGCCUUUUUUCCUCACUUCCUUAAUCCUCAAAAGCCUUUUUUCCUCCCUUGCCACCCAAAUCCUUUUACCCUUGCCUUCUUUGCUUCCAAAACCCUAUUUCCCUCCCCAUCACUCAGGGGGCACUUUGCUUGUGCUUUUUCCUCAUGGCAGAAGGGAGUUGAACUGGAUGACA